AUUGAGAUGCAUUUUUCAACUACCUACUGAUUUUAUCUCCUUUCUUUUUAUCACAAAAAUAUACCUCCACACAUAUAAACACAAAAUACUCAGACCACACAUACACACAAAAACUAUUGCUUCUCCACCAUUCUUUUUCUUUCUUUUUCUCCCCUUUUUCUCUCUCUUUCUCUCACUCCCCAAAAGCCUUAAACCGCCACCGGCGAACCAACGGUGAUUCGGUGGAAUCCCCCUUCCUUUGCCUCACCACUUUGACAAUCACCAAGAAACCAUCAGUGCCACCCCUUGUCUCCCUUUCUAGCAAAACACCACCAAUUUUUCCUCUUUUCGUUGUUCCUUUUUUGCGCUGCCUUGCCGAAGGUCGUGGCCGGCGAGAUUCAACCGUACCACCGCUACGCGCCACCCAACACCGCUAAAAUAGCUGCACCACCACAAACCACCACCUUCUCUUCCUUAUCACUAUUUCGGCCAACCAAGAACAAACCCAUGUCAGAUUCCGGCUAAACUCAAUCGGAAAUGAUGAGCCAUUGUCGGUUUAUUUAUCAGUUUUUCAGAUCUGGGCGACAAUACUAUGACAAUACAAAAUAUGACAUCGCAAUUUGAAGUUAUUCUAUUUCUUUGUUAAAUUGUUGAUUAUUGGGAAUACUCGUUGGGAAUGGCAUGCAAAGAAGACCUUAAAUUUUGUGUUUGUAUUUUUAUAUUUUUAUACUUGUACAAAUACUAUCAUAGUGAAAUUUUAUUUUUUGGGGCGUUGGACGGGCA